AGUGAACGCUGGCGGUAGGCCUAACACAUGCAAGUCGAACGGCAGCACAGUAAGAGCUUGCUCUUACGGGUGGCGAGUGGCGGACGGGUGAGGAAUACAUCGGAAUCUACUUUUUCGUGGGGGAUAACGUAGGGAAACUUACGCUACUACCGCAUACGACCUACGGGUUAAAGCAGGGGAUCUUCGCACCUUUCGCGACUGAUUUAGCCGAUGUCGGAUUAGCUAGUUGGCGGGGUAAGGGCCCACCAAGGCGACGAUCCGUAGCUGGUCUGAGAGGAUGAUCAGCCACACUGGAACUGAGACACGGUCCAGACUCCUACGGGAGGCAGCAGUGGGGAAUAUUGGACAAUGGGCGCAAGCCUGAUCCAGCCAUACCGCGUGGGUGAAGAAGGCCUUCGGGUUGUAAAGCCCUUUUGUUGGGAAAGAAAAGCAGCAGGUUAAUACCCCGCUGUUCUGACGGUACCCAAAGAAUAAGCACCGGCUAACUUCGUG
rnacentral:rRNA from 1 species